rnacentral:rRNA from 1 species
UACGGAGGUUGCGAGCGUUGUUCGGAAUUACUGGGCGUAAAGGGAGCGCAGGCGGCCAGGUUAGUCUAAAGUGAAAGCCCGGGGCUCAACCUCGGAAGUGCUUUGGAUACUGUCUGGCUUGAGUACGCGAGAGGUGAGCGGAAUUCCAGGUGUAGCGGUGAAAUGCGUAGAUAUCUGGAGGAACACCCGUGGCGAAAGCGGCUCACUGGCGCGAAACUGACGCUGAGGCUCGAAAGCGUGGGGAGCGAACGGG